CCAGUACAGAGUCAAUGUGGAGACUAUAUACAGGGGGUACCGGUACAGAGUCAAUGUGGAGACUAUAUACAGGGGGUACCGGUACAGAGUCAAUGUGGAGACUAUAUACAGGGGGUACCGGUACAGAGUCAAUGUGGAGGCUAUAUACAGGGGGUACCGGUACAGAGUCAAUGUGGAGGCUAUAUACAGGGGGUACCGGUACAGAGUCAAUGUGGAGGCUAUAUACAGGGGUACCGGUACAGAGUCAAUGUGGAGACUAUAUACAGGGGGUACCGGUACAGAGUCAAUGUGGAGGCUAUAUACAGGGGGUACCGGUACAGAGUCAAUGUGGAGGCUAUAUACAGGGGGUACCGGUACAGAGUCAAUGUGGAGGCUAUAUACAGGGGGUACCGGUACAGAGUCAAUGUGGAGACUAUAUACAGGGGGUACCGGUACAGAGUCAAUGUGGAGACUAUAUACAGGGGGUACCGGUACAGAGUCAAUGUGGAGACUAUAUACAGGAGGUACCAGUACAGAGUCAAUGUGGAGACUAUAUACAGGGGGUACCGGUACAGAGUCAAUGUGGAGACUAUAUA